rnacentral:rRNA from 1 species
AUUGAACGCUGGCGGCAGGCCUAACACAUGCAAGUCGAGCGAGCGGCGGACGGGUGAGUAAUGUAUGGGGACUGCCCGAUAGAGGGGGAUAACUACUGGAAACGGUAGCUAAUACCGCAUACUAUCGGAUGACCCAUAUGGGAUUAGCUAGUAGGUGGGGUAAGGGCUCACCUAGGCGACGAUCCCUAGCUGGUCUGAGAGGAUGAGCAGCCACACUGGGACUGAGAAACGGCCCAGACUCCUACGGAGGCAGAAGGGGGGAAUAUUGCACAAUGGGCGCAAGCCUGAUGCAGCCAUGCCGCGUGUAUGAAGAAGGCCCUAGGGUUGUAAAGUACUUUCAGUGGGGAGGCGUUACCGACAGAAGAAGCACCGGCUAACUCCGUGCCAGCAGCCGCGGUAAUAC